AACGAACGCUGGAGGCAGGCCUCAAACAUGCAAGUCUAGGGGGUGUAGCAAUACAUCACCGGCGGACGGGUGCGUAACGCGUGGGAAUAUACCUAUCGAUUCGGAACAACUGAGGGAAACUUCAGCUAAUACCGAAUACGUCCUAACGGAGAAAGAUUUAUCGUCGAUAGAUUAGCCCGCGUUCGAUUAGCUAGUUGGUGGGGUAACGGCCCACCAAGGCGACGAUCGAUAGCUGUUCUGAGAGGAAGAUCAGCCACACUGGGACUGAGACACGGCCCAGACUCCUACGGGAGGCAGCAGUUGGGAAUCUUGGACAAUGGGGGAAACCCUGAUCCAGCCAUGCCGCGUGAGUGAUGAAGGCCUUCGGUUGUAAGCCUUCGGUCGGGACGAUGAUGACGGUACCCGCAGAAGAAGCCCCGGCUAACUUCGUGCCAGCAGCCGCGGUAAU
rnacentral:rRNA from 1 species